rnacentral:rRNA from 1 species
GUCAUAUGCUUGUCUCAAAGAUUAAGCCAUGCAUGUCUCAGUACAAGCCAUAUUAAGGUGAAACCGCGAAAGGCUCAUUAAAUCAGUUAUGGUUCCUUAGAUCGUACCCACAAUUACUUGGAUAACUGUGGUAAUUCUAGAGCUAAUACAUGCAAACAGAGCUCCGACCGGAGACGGAAGGAGUGCUUUUAUUAGAUCAAAACCAAUCGGUGGCGGGUUCGCUCGUCAUCGUACAACUUGGUGACUCUGAAUAACUUUACGCUGAUCGCACGGUCAUCGCACCGGCGACGCAUCUUUCAAAUGUCUGCCUUAUCAACUGUCGAUGGUAGGUUCUGCGCCUACCAUGGUUGUAACGGGUAACGGGGAAUCAGGGUUCGAUUCCGGAGAGGGAGCCUGAGAAACGGCUACCACAUCCAAGGAAGGCAGCAGGCGCGCAAAUUACCCACUCCCGGCACGGGGAGGUAGUGACGAAAAAUAACGAUACGGGACUCAUCCGAGGCCCCGUAAUCGGAAUGAGUACACUCUAAACUCUUUAACGAGGAUCAAUUGGAGGGCAAGUCUGGUGCCAGCAGCCGCGG